AGUGAUUCCAAGCCACUGGUACCCUUCCAUUCUUAGGAUCUCAAAUUUGUUCCUAACAGAAGAAGAUGAAGGCAUGAGCAGUAAAUUAGAAAAGUAAUCUGAAAGAAGGCCAUAUAAUAAGUAGAUCAUAAGAGAAAUAUCUUCAGGCCAAUGACUAUGGCAACAGAUUCCAGUUCAUUUCAGACAUCUUCAUUUUUCAGUUAAAAAAUAUGCAUAUUUCUAGCCUGUGCUUUCAAUGUUUAAAAAUAUGAACUGAGCAUAACUUAUGUUCUGGCAGCUGAAAUAAUACUCCUGGCUAUAAGCCAUCCUUUGCCCACAUCCAGGAGUGCUCCAAACAUGACUGCUUCAGAGGACCUGAGAAUACUGACACCAGCCUAGCAGAGGACUCCAUGAAAAGUGAAAAAAACAUCCUGCAGUCUCUCAUCCAGAUGUAUCAUUUUGGCAGGUUGAUGCUGUUUAUGCAGGUGAACGGGCUCAACGUGGCUUUGGCACUUCAUGAGAGCUUCCUGGGAACUGGAGCACUACUUACUAUAUAUCACUGGAAACAGCAUGGUAGCUGUUGGGAUAUAUACAAGAGCAACAAAAGGGACGUUGCAAUAUCUAGGAGAAAAGAAUUAACACCUGAUACAUUUUAAAAGUACAGUGAGCAGGCCAAACAUUUAAGGUAAAAUAACCGUUUUCCAGAAGUGAUUUCAUUACUUUUCCUUCUGUGUUAUUUGUAAUUUUCUCAACAGUGCAGUAUUUUUAACUUUGAGACAAUAUAUUAAUGUGGGGAUAUUGUCAGUGUAGCUAAUCUUUUCUUUUAGGAACAUCUUAAAAAUUAGCAUAUCUAUCUAAACUGCUAAAAGAGAGAUUACCCCAUCGUUAACUACACACACAUGUUAACGAGAGAGGUGGGAUCGAGACCUCAUGACAACUGCAGACCUCUCUCUACGCACUUAGGCAUAGUGUACCCAUAGCGUAUAAGGGAUGUACCUUUGUUCUGUUGGGGUGCACAUUAAAAAGGAAAUAUCCCCUGGGCAUCCGGGGCCGUAUUAGAGAAUGCCUGCUUCUUAAUACCCACAUUUGUCUUAAGGAGUUUUAUUUGGGUCGAGGUUUGUCUGGCAACAGGUAGACCAAAUGUUUGAGACAGGAGAAAGAUACUGCAGUUCGUCUGCAUUUCAGAGCACUCUUCCUGAGACAGGCUAUGCCGGUGACAACACAUGAUACUGUCUGAGGUAUGUGCUCACUGUAUCUUCUUCCCAGAAAUAAUACAUACUUUAGAGAACAGAGGACAAUAUCUGAGAAGUGUAACUGCUACUUAUACAGCAAAUGCUCUGUAUGCUACACAACUGUAAAAUGAUCAAUCAAGGCUUGUCAAAAAUGAAAAUCCACAAAAAUAAUAAAAAAAAGGCCAUGAAAUGAAAUAAAAGGGGAAAAAAUAAGAGCUGAAUGCACAUACUCUAUUAAAGCAUGAAUAUCAGGAUAAGGCAUAUGAAAAGAGACGUAGGAGAGCAACUGUAGUUUUAAAACACUUGAUAAUUAAAGAUGAAACAAAAAGUAGAAUAAGAUUAGAUUGAAGGAAGGAAGUCUAGCAAGGUUGUGGAAACUUGAGAAAAAAUAGUUACAUGUAGAACAAAUAAGAAACAGGAUGUUGUACUUCAUAAAGUUACACAAAGUUAAAAGAUUUAAACAUAAAAAAUAUAACAGCUUUCAGUGUAAUUUAUGGUAUAAAGACACUUCUUAUUUUGUGGAGUAAAAGCAAGCAACUUCUGAUCUUCAGAUCAAUCUAAAUAGAUAUUUAAUUGUUUAGAUUUCAAGGUCUCAAUCAAUUACUUCUUCCAACAGUAAAUAUCCAUAGUUAAAAUGCUUUGGGAUGUUUCUAUCUUUGUACUCUGUCUUUUUCUCUCAUCUCGAAGAAAAGCUCAAAGAAUAUAAAUAUAAGGAAUAAUUUUUUUACAGUGAGGGUGGUGAGGUAUUGAAAUACGUUGCCCAGUGUUGUGGUUCAUGUCCUGAUCCUGGAGACUUUCAAGGCAAGGCUGGACUGGGCCCCAGGCAACCUGAUCUAGCUGUGGUUGUCCCUGUUAGUUGCAGGGGAGUUAGACUAGAUGGUCUUUAGAGGUGCCUUCCAACUCUAAGGAUUCUAUUAUUCUAAAAGCUAAUGCAAAUGUAAAAGCUAGAAUGAAAAAUCAGUCUUUCAAAAUGAUAAUGAUUUGUAAGCUUUCAACAUUGUCUAAAAAUCUGUGUAAAAUGCAUGCACCAUAAUGUGAAAUAAACAAAUGAAAACAUAGCUUAGAUGUA
ensembl:lncRNA